ACCUUCGCAUCAUCUGAAAAUGUCCAGAUGAGUUGGAGGCAGCAAUGAACAACCAGGCAACCAACUCUCAUAAAGAUGAAUCAAACUAUGGUGAUCUGAUAAGCAGACUUGUGAGAUCCAUUUUUUCACCCAAAAGGGAGCCAGGGCUUUGUUCUCUACUUUACCUACCCACAGCAUCAAAAGAAAAUAGACACAAUAUGGCCCUUUGUAGCAACACAUCUCUUCAGUAAUCGAAAUGAUAAAUAAAUA
rnacentral:lncRNA from 1 species